CAAAACUUUCAACAACGGAUCUCUUGGCUCUGGCAUCGAUGAAGAACGCAGCGAAAUGCGAUACGUAAUGUGAAUUGCAGAAUUCAGCGAACCAUCGAAUUUUUGAACGCACAUUGCGCCCGCCAGUAUUCUGGCGGGCAUGCCUGUCCGAGCGUCAUUUCCCCCCU
rnacentral:rRNA from 1 species